GACGAACGCUGGCGGCGUGCUUAACACAUGCAAGUCGAACGGAAAGGCCCUGCUUUUGUGGGGUGCUCGAGUGGCGAACGGGUGAGUAACACGUGAGUAACCUGCCCUCGACUUUGGGAUAACUUCAGGAAACUGGGGCUAAUACCGGAUAGGAGCUCCUGCUGCAUGGUGGGGGUUGGAAAGUUUCGGCGGUUGGGGAUGGACUCGCGGCUUAUCAGCUUGUUGGUGGGGUAGUGGCUUACCAAGGCUUUGACGGGUAGCCGGCCUGAGAGGGUGACCGGCCACAUUGGGACUGCGAUACGGCCCAGACUCCUACGGGAGGCAACAGUGGGGAAUAUUGCACAAUGGGCGGAAGCCUGAUGCAGCAACGCCGCGUGCGGGAUGACGGCCUUCGGGUUGUAAACCGCUUUCGCCUGUGACGAAGCGUGAGUGACGGUAAUGGGUAAAGAAGCACCGGCUAACUACGUG
rnacentral:rRNA from 1 species